CCUAAGGUAGCGAAAUUCCUUGUCGGGUAAGUUCCGACCUGCACGAAUGGCGUAAUGAUGGCCAGGCUGUCUCCACCCGAGACUCAGUGAAAUUGAACUCGCUGUGAAGAUGCAGUGUACCCGCGGCAAGACGGAAAGACCCCGUGAACCUUUACUAUAGCUUGACACUGAACAUUGAGCCUUGAUGUGUAGGAUAGGUGGGAGGCUUUGAAGUGUGGACGCCAGUCUGCAUGGAGCCGACCUUGAAAUACCACCCUUUAAUGUUUGAUGUUCUAACGUUGGCCCCUAAUCGGGGUUGCGGACAGUGUCUGGUGGGUAGUUUGACUGGGGCGGUCUCCUCCUAAAGAGUAACGGAGGAGCACGAAGGUUGGCUAAUCCUGGUCGGACAUCAGGAGGUUAGUGCAAUGGCAUAAGCCAGCUUGACUGCGAGCGUGACGGCGCGAGCAGGUGCGAAAGCAGGUCAUAGUGAUCCGGUGGUUCUGAAUGGAAGGGCCAUCGCUCAACGGAUAAAAGGUACUCCGGGGAUAACAGGCUGAUACCGCCCAAGAGUUCAUAUCGACGGCGGUGUUUGGCACCUCGAUGUCGGCUCAUCACAUCCUGGGGCUGAAGUAGGUCCCAAGGGUAUGGCUGUUCGCCAUUUAAAGUGGUACGCGAGCUGGGUUUAGAACGUCGUGAGACAGUUCGGUCCCUAUCUGCCGUGGGCGCUGGAGAACUGAGGGGGGCUGCUCCUAGUACGAGAGGACCGGAGUGGACGCAUCACUGGUGUUCGGGUUGUCAUGCCAAUGGCACUGCCCGGUAGCUAAAUGCGGAAGAGAUAAGUGCUGAAAGCAUCUAAGCACGAAACUUGCCCCGAGAUGAGUUCUCCCUGACUCCUUGAGAGUCCUGAAGGAACGUUGAAGACGACGACGUUGAUAGGCCGGGUGUGUAAGCGCAGCGAUGCGUUGAGCUAACCGGUACUAAUGAACCGUGAGGCUUAACCUU
rnacentral:rRNA from 1 species